UGGUGGAGUGAUUUGUCUGGUUAAUUCCGUUAACGAACGAGACCUUAACCUGCUAAAUAGUUACGUGAUUCUUGAAUCACGGACAACUUCUUAGAGGGACUAUUGGGAUCCAAACCAAUGGAAGUUUGAGGCAAUAACA
rnacentral:rRNA from 1 species